rnacentral:misc_RNA from 1 species
UUAUAUAACUUCAGAAAGACCAGAAGAGAAAUUCCUCUUCUUGGGUCAUUAACAAAACAUUGCAAGAUAACUGAAAAACUUUACAUAAAAUUAAUGUUCUAUAGACGUGAUGCUACUCAACCGAAUAGCCCCAUAAAAUUGAUGAAUUUGUAAACAUGAAUAUGACACCCUUUCUCAUUCCACUACCAUAUAUACUGAAAUAAAAGAGAGAAAAAAAAGUAUCACAUGAAAGAUCGCAUCCGAGGCCUCGACAAAGACUGCCCUCCAUCGACAAAUAUAGUUGUCCCAGUCAUGUAGAGUGAGCCAUCACUUAUUAAAUAAAUGACAGUUGAUGCUAGAUCAUUUCUAGCAUCAAGCCAUCUCUGGAGCGGCGCUACCUCUGUGACCAACUUCUCUGCUCUCUCCUUCCCCACUGCUAAGGGAUAUUCAUCUUGUAGGUGCAAACCCCGUGCAAUUGCGUUCACCCUGAUUUUGUAUUUACCAAUUUCCAUAGCCGAAUGUCUAACUAAUUGCUGGAUUCCAGCUGAACAUGAACCAUAAGCAGCAGCACCUGGAUAAAUUCCUCUCUCAGCACCGAUUAUUGAGGUCACAAAGACAAUUGAACCUCCCAACUUAUUGUCACGCAUUCUUCUUCCAACUGCCUUUAGUAGGAACCAUGGAGCCAUAAAGUUUAUUUUCACUAUCUUUUUGAACUCAUCUUCAACUAAUUCUAAAGGGUUCUGCAUCUUUCCUUCAUAGUCGUAGCAAUGUACAAAAGCAUCCAAAUUCCCCAAAAUCCUGCAUGCCUCACACACUGCGUCAUCAAAAGCUCCCUCCCUUUCCUCCUCCAUAUCCAUUCCUACAAUCUCCACAGGCACA